AUGGCUUGUGUAGAAACAGAGAAAUUCAGGUUAGCCGUCGAAUCUUUGCUUCUGUCUGUUGAUUCCUCCGUGUUUUUAGAAAAGGAGGAUUAUCGCAUCAGAGUGAUGUCGACCUCUAAUCACCUCCCCCCCAUCUCCACCGCUCUCCAUAGCAUGUCGACGAAUUUGGGGUCAAGUAGCGGAUUUGUGUGCUUGGGAGGGGCGUGGGGGAUGGCUGUUUAUCCCGAUUCUGUUGUUUUUGAGAACGAGUCGGGGAGGUUAGGCAUGCUACGAGAGGUUACCGAGGACGACCCGAGUGGAAGAUUUGCAGAUUUAUUGGAUUCUGUUGAACUUAGCCCAGAAUCGGACCUUGUGGACCUAGACGACAAAAGAACUCCUAGGCUGGAGAACAAAUAUGCGGCCCUUGAUGACAAGGUUGGUUGGGUUACGAGGUAG
rnacentral:rRNA from 1 species